rnacentral:rRNA from 1 species
AGUGAACGCUGGCGGCGUGCCUAAUACAUGCAAGUCGAACGGAAUUUAAAAGAGCUUGCUCUUUUAAAUUUAGUGGCGCACGGGUGAGUAAUAUAUAGCUAAUCUGCCCCUUGCUGGAGGACAACAGUUAGAAAUGACUGCUAAUACUCCAUACUCCUUUUUACCAUAAGAUAAAUCGGGAAAGAAUUUCGGCAAGGGAUGAGACUAUAUCGUAUCAGCUAGUCGGUGGGGUAACGGCCUACCGAGGCUAUGACGCGUAACUGGUCUGAGAGGAUGAUCAGUCACAUUGGAACUGAGACACGGUCCAAACUCCUACGGGAGGCAGCAGUAGGGAAUAUUGCGCAAUGGGGGAAACCCUGACGCAGCAACGCCGCGUGGAGGAUGACACUUUUCGGAGCGUAAACUCCUUUUGUUAGGGAAGAAUAAUGACGGUACCUAACGAAUAAGCACCGGCUAACUCCGUGCCAGCAGCCGCGGUAAUACGGAGGGUGCAAGCGUUACUCGGAAUCACUGGGCGUAAAGGACGCGUAGGCGGAUUAUCAAGUCUCUUGUGAAAUCUAACGGCUCAACCGUUAAACUGCUUGGGAAACUGAUAAUCUAGAGUAAGGGAGAGGCAGAUGGAAUUCUUGGUGUAGGGGUAAAAUCCGUAGAUAUCAAGAAGAAUACCUAUUGCGAAGGCGAUCUGCUGGAACUUAACUGACGCUAAUGCGUGAAAGCGUGGGGAGCAAACAGG